GAAGUAAAAGUCGUAACNAGGUUUCCGUAGGUGAACCUGCGGANGGAU
rnacentral:rRNA from 1 species